AUUGAACGCUGGCGGCAUGCUUUACACAUGCAAGUCGAACGGCAGCGCGGGCUUCGGCCUGGCGGCGAGUGGCGAACGGGUGAGUAAUGCAUCGGAACGUGCCCAGUAGUGGGGGAUAGCCCGGCGAAAGCCGGAUUAAUACCGCAUACGACCUGAGGGUGAAAGCGGGGGACCGAAAGGCCUCGCGCUAUUGGAGCGGCCGAUGUCGGAUUAGCUAGUUGGUGGGGUAAAGGAUUACCAAGGCGACGAUCCGUAGCUGGUCUGAGAGGACGACCAGCCACACUGGGACGGAGACACGGCCCAGACUCCUACGGGAGGCAGCAGUGGGGAAUUUUGGACAAUGGGGGCAACCCUGAUCCAGCCAUGCCGCGUGCGGGAAGAAGGCCUUCGGGUUGUAAACCGCUUUUGUUCGGGAAGAAAUCCUCUGGGCUAAUACCCCGGGGGGAUGACGGUACCGGAAGAAUAAGCACCGGCUAACUACGUG
rnacentral:rRNA from 1 species